AGUCCAUCGUCCAUCGAUUUCCCCUUCACUUCAAAGAGGAAGGCAUCCGAUCAGCCAAAAUCAGCGUAGCAGAAAAGUAGUCAAGCUGAGUCCAAUCCCAUCAACAUCAAGCGCAGCACCAGGAACUAGUACUAAUCCUAAUGUUGAUGACGAUGACCUUGACACAAGCUUUAGUAGUGCAGAGCCUGUAGACCCACUGGAUGAAAGCUUUCAGCCUGGAAAAAUCUCAAGCUCAACAUCAUCUGACUUUGAAACAAGCCAGGACAGCCAAAGGUAUUUAUGAA